AAAUGAAAAUGAAAAUAAAAAUGGGAGUGAGGAGUAACAAAAGUGAAAUAAAUUUCAAAUAAAUUUUUAAUUUUUGUUUUCACUUUCGUUACUCAUCCCUCCCAUCCUCCCCUCUCAUCUUCAUCU
rnacentral:miRNA from 1 species